AUGAACGCUGGCGGCGUGCCUAAUCCAUGCCAGUCGCGCGAACAGACGAGGAGCUUGCUCCUCUGACGUUAGCGGCGGACGGGUGAGUAACACGUGGAUAACCUACCUAUAAGACUGGGAUAACUUCGGGAAACCGGAGCUAAUACCGGAUAAUAUAUUGAACCGCAUGGUUCAAUAGUGAAAGACGGUUUUGCUGUCACUUAUAGAUGGAUCCGCGCCGCAUUAGCUAGUUGGUAAGGUAACGGCUUACCAAGGCAACGAUGCGUAGCCGACCUGAGAGGGUGAUCGGCCACACUGGAACUGAGACACGGUCCAGACUCCUACGGGAGGCAGCAGUAGGGAAUCUUCCGCAAUGGGCGAAAGCCUGACGGAGCAACGCCGCGUGAGUGAUGAAGGUCUUCGGAUCGUAAAACUCCGUUAUUAGGGAAGAACAAAUGUGUAAGUAACUAUGCACGUCUUGACGGUACCUAAUCAGAAAGCCACGGCUAACUACGUG
rnacentral:rRNA from 1 species